AUGCAUACGGUGGAUGCCUUGGUCGAAAGUACCGAUGAAGGACGUAACAAGCUGCGAUAAGCUUUGGGGAGCUGCUAAUAAGCUUUGAUCCAGAGAUUUCCGAAUAAAGUAAUUACCCCGCCUCGGCGGGGGAUCCCUACAUGAAUACAUAGUGUCGGGAGGGGUACGCGCCGAACUGAAACAUCUAAGUAAGCGCAGGAAAAUAAAUCAACAGAGAUUCCCCCAGUAGCGGCGAGCGAAAAGGGAGGAGCCCAAACCCUUCGAGUAAUCGAAGGGGGUUGUAGGAAUCCAAUAUCUGACCUUUAAUGGUAGCUAAAUACACUGGAAAGUGUAACCAAAGAGAGUGAGAGUCUCGUAAGCGAAACCAAAAAAGGCGGUAGGAUCACCUGAGUAGCACAGGACACGUGUAAUCCUGUGUGAAUCCAGCAAGACCACUUGCUAAGGCUAAAUAUACUUUCGGACCGAUAGUGAACUAGUACCGCGAGGGAAAGGUGAAAAGAAGAGCGAAACGCUCAGUGAAAUAGUACCUGAAACCGUAUGUUGACAAGCAGUGGAAGUGUGCGUUGCGCAUAGGAUAUAAGGAGAAGGAUAGAAGUGAUCAGUCAAAAUUGACUAAUCAUUACUUCCUAUGAUCCUUCUAUCUUGCGCGCAGCGCAUACGACCGCGUGCCUAUUGAAGAAUGAACCGGUGAGUUACCGCAUCCCUUUUGCUUAAGCCAUUUUGUGGCGGAAGCGUAGUGAAAGCGAGGGUUAAUAGCGUAUCAAUAACUUGGGAUGAGAUGUGGUUAGAGGUGAUAUGCCUAACGAACUCGGAGAUAGCUGGUUCUCCUCGAAAUAUAUCUAGGUAUAGCCUGAAAGGUAAGCACAGGGGUAGAGCACUGGAUCGAUUUUUCAGCGUAAGCUGGAAGAUUGAAUCAAACUCCGAAUACUGUGCCAAUUACUUUCAGAGUCAGUCCGAUCCGGCUAAGCGGAGCGGGCCUGAGGGAAACAUCCCAGACCAACAGCUAAGGUCCCUAAAUGCAAGUUAAGUGUUAAAGGAAGUCAUAUUCCUUAGACAGCCAGGAAGUUGGCUUAGAAGCAGCCAUCUUUUAAAGAUAGCGUAACAGCUCGCUGGUCUAGUCACGGAGUGUGGCACCGACAAUGAAUCGGGGCUAAACUUGCUACCGAAGCUUUGGGUCUUGUGCUUCGCACAGAGGAUAUUAGGAAGAAGGAUAGUAGUAACUAGUCUUUUUGAUUAAUCACUGCUUCCUGUUAUCCUACUAUCUUUUGUGUGGAGCACGAGGCGGUAGAGGAGCGUUCUAUACGGAGUGAAUAGUUGUCGUAAGGCGACUUGGACUGUAUAGAAGUGAGAAUGCCGGUAUGAGUAGCGAAUUUACGUGAGAAACGUAAUCGCCGAAUGCCCAAGGUUUCCCACGCAAUGUUAAUCAGCGUGGGGUUAAUCGGUCCUAAGGUCAGUCCUCCUUUUGGAGGAGUAGCCGAUGGAUUACAGGUUAAAAUUCCUGUAUUGAGGUUGUUCUGACAAGUCCUCUUGUGCUUCGCACAGAGGAUAUUAGGAAGAAGGAUAGUAGUAACUAGUCUUUUUGAUUAAUCACUGCUUCCUGUUAUCCUACUAUCUUUUGUGCGGAGUGCAAGUAAGGAGCUUUCAAGGGUGAACGAAGUGGAAUAGUCAAGUCAGGCAAUGCCUGAUUUAAAUAGCAAGCAAGUAGAAAUCGGCAAAUCCGUUUUUAUGUUUAUGUGAGCUAUGAUGACGUAAGUUGACGAUUUUCUGUUUCCAGGAAAAGACUCGUGUAAGAGAACAAUUUUAACCGUACCGUAAACCGACACAGGUGGGCGAGUUGAGUAUACAAAGGCGAUCGGGAGAACUAUCCUUAAGGAACUCGGCAACGAAAGCUGGACGUAACCUUUGGGAGAUGUCCUGGUCCGACGUAACGUCGGACUUACAACAAAAGACGCUAAGCGACUGUUUAACAAAAACACAGGUCCCUGCUAAAUCGAAAGAUGAUGUAUAGGGGCUGACACCUGCCCAGUGCCAGUAA
rnacentral:rRNA from 1 species